rnacentral:lncRNA from 1 species
UCCCUCUGCCUCGCCGACCGCCAACAAUCUCCAGCCGCUCGCAGCUCCUCACUGGGGCAUCUGGACUUCUCAUCCGCACAUGCCCGAACCACCUCAGCCUUGCUUCUUGCAUCUUCCCAUCCACCGGGGCCACCCUCACCUUCUCUCGAAUAACUUCAUUCUUAAUCUUAUCUAGCCUGGCGUGACCGCACAUCCACCUAAGCAUCCUCAUCUCCGCAACCUUCAUUCUCUGAACAUGAGAGUUCUUCACGGGCCAGCACUCCGCCCCAUACAACAUCGUAGGUCUAACCACGGCUCAAUAGAAUUUCCCCUUUGAGUUUGUG